GGCAGUUGUGGAUGUGCUGACUGUGGAGUAGAUGGUUGAAGAACUGAGGCUGGGAGUACUCUCUGAGGGGGUCUCAGUGGUGGUGAUUGAAGAACUGAAGCUGGGAGUACUGUGUGAGGUGGUCUCCGUGGUGGUGAUCAAAGAAGUGAAGCUGGGAGUACUGUGGGAUGUGGUCUCGGUGGUGGUGAUUGAAGAAGUGAAGCUGGGAGUAUUGUGGGAUGUGGUCUCGGUGGUGGUGAUCGAAGAAGUGAAGCUGGGAGAGCUGUGUGAGGUGAUCUCAGUGGUGGUGGUU
rnacentral:lncRNA from 1 species